UACGGAGGAGGCAAGCGUUAUCCGGAAUUAUUGGGCGUAAAGCGUCCGUAGGUGGCUCUUCAAGUCUGCUGUCAAAGAGUGGGGCUUAACCCUGCAAAGGCAGUGGAAACUGAAAGGCUAGAGAGCCGUAGGGGUAGAGGGAAUUCCCGGUGUAGCAGUGAAAUGCGUAGAGAUCGGGAAGAACAUCGGUGGCGAAAGCGCUCUACUGGACGGUAUCUGACACUGAGGGACGAAAGCUAGGGGAGCGAAUGGG
rnacentral:rRNA from 1 species